rnacentral:rRNA from 1 species
GAUGAACGCUGGCGGCGUGCCUAACACAUGCAAGUCGAACGGAGUUCUUAAGGAAUGCGACUUCGGUCAAAUGACUUUUGAACUUAGUGGCGGACGGGUGAGUAACGCGUGAGCAACCUGCCUUUCAGAGGGGGAUAACAUUUGGAAACAGAUGCUAAUACCGCAUAAGAUUACAGUACCGCAUGAUACAGUGAUCAAAGGAGCAAUCCGCUGAAAGAUGGGCUCGCGUCCGAUUAGAUAGUUGGUGAGGUAACGGCUCACCAAGUCGACGAUCGGUAGCCGGACUGUGAGGUUGAACGGCCACAUUGGGACUGAGACACGGCCCAGACUCCUACGGGAGGCAGCAGUGGGGGAUAUUGCACAAUGGGGGAAACCCUGAUGCAGCGACGCCGCGUGGAGGAAGAAGGUUUUCGGAUUGGUAAACUCCUGUCGUUAGGGACGAUAAUGACGGUACCUAACAAGAAAGCAACCGGGCUAAACUACGUGCCAGCAGCCGC